rnacentral:rRNA from 1 species
UACAGAGGUGGCAAGCGUUGUUCGGAAUUACUGGGCGUAAAGGGCGCGUAGGCGGCCAUCUAAGUCAGACGUGAAAUCCCCGGCUCAACCUGGGAACUGCGUCUGAUACUGGGAGGCUAGAGUUUGGGAGAGGGAUGUAGAAUUCCAGGUGUAGCGGUGAAAUGCGUAGAUAUCUGGAGGAAUACCGGUGGCGAAGGCGGCAUCCUGGACCAAUACUGACGCUGAGGCGCGAAAGCUAGGGGAGCAAACGGG